rnacentral:rRNA from 2 species
CCGCAUAAGCACACAGUGCCGCAUGGUACGGUGUGAAAAACUCCGGUGGUAUGAGAUGGACGCGCGUCUGAUUAGGUAGUUGGUGAGGUAACGGCCCACCAAGCCGACGAUCAGUAGCCGACCUGAGAGGGUGACCGGCCACAUUGGGACUGAGACACGGCCCAAACUCCUACGGGAGGCAGCAGUGGGGAAUAUUGGACAAUGGGGGAAACCCUGAUCCAGCGACGCCGCGUGAGUGAAGAAGUGUUUCGGCAUGUAAAGCUCUAUCAGCAGGGAAGAAAAUGACGGUACCUGACUAAGAAGCCCCGGCUAACUACGUGCCAGCAGCCGCGGUAAUACGUAGGGGGCAAGCGUUAUCCGGAUUUACUGGGUGUAAAGGGAGCGUAGACGGCGAUGCAAGUCUGGAGUGAAAGCCCGGGGCUCAACCCCGGGACUGCUUUGGAAACUGUGUUGCUGGAGUGCAGGAGAGGUAAGUGGAAUUCCUAGUGUAGCGGUGAAAUGCGUAGAUAUUAGGAGGAACACCAGUGGCGAAGGCGGCUUACUGGACUGUAACUGACGUUGAGGCUCGAAAGCGUGGGGAGCAAACAGGAUUAGAUACCCUGGUAGUCCACGCCGUAAACGAUUAAUACUAGGUGUUGGGGAGCAAAGCUCUUCGGUGCCGCCGCUAACGCAAUAA